UACCUGUGAAGCAUCCUGUUUAAGUCAGGCAACGAGCCGAGACCCCACGCCCACAGUUUGCCAGCGUACUCUCUGGAGUGACGGGGUACACUGUGGGGACCGCCGCUGCUAAAGCGGAGGAAGGAAUGGGCAACGGUAGGUCAGUAUGCCCCGAAUAUCCCGGGCUACACGCGAGCUACAAUGGUUGGUACAAUGGGUAUCUACCCCGAAAGGGGACGGGAAUCUCCUAAAACCAAUCUUAGUUCGGAUUGAGGGCUGCAACUCGCCCUCAUGAAGCUGGAAUCCGUAGUAAUCGCGUUUCAACAGAACGCGGUGAAUACGUCCCUGCUCCUU
rnacentral:rRNA from 1 species